rnacentral:rRNA from 1 species
AAAGAUUAAGCCAUGCAUGUCUAAGUAUAAGCAAUUAUACCGCGAAACUGCGAAUGGCUCAUUAAAUCAGUUAUCGUUUAUUUGAUAGUACCUUACUACAUGGAUAACCGUGGUAAUUCUAGAGCUAAUACAUGCUGAAAAUCCCGACCUCUGGAAGGGAUGUAUUUAUUAGAUAAAAAACCAAUGCCUUCGGGCUCCUUGGUGAUUCAUGAUAACUUUACGAAUCGCAUGGCCUUGCGCCGGCGAUGGUUCAUUCAAAUUUCUGCCCUAUCAACUUUCGAUGGUAGGAUAGUGGCCUACCAUGGUCG